UCAGCACAAAAUAAGAUAUAACCCAACAUGAAUGCAUAGACAAGUUUCUACCUCUAUGUUAAAUUUUAAUUUCAACAAAAAUAAUUUUAUUUACUAGAUUAAAUGCCCACAAAGUGCUUAAAUAAAUCCAAUUAAAUCCUAUUAAUUCAAAAGCAAAUUUUUUGGGUGUUACAAAUUCUACCCCUCUUAAAAGAAUCUCGUCCUCAAGAUUGAGCAGUGCAUAAACAAACCACUCUGGAUAUGACCGUCUCCAAUCAUUCUCUCUUUUCCAAGUUGCUUCACUUAUCACAUUCUAAUGAUCUAACUUCUGGUAACGCUCUGUAUUUGUCUCUUAAGUUCUUCUAACUCAUUCAUCCCAUUCUGUAAGGCCUUUCAGCUAUAGGUGCAUUAUCAGGUAGUAAUUCGAUAAUAAUAAAUUCAAUGUCUCUGGUCGGUUAGCAUACCUGGCAACUUAUCUGAAAACACAUUUGGGAAUUUAUUCACUACACGAUCCUAAAGAUCAACAUCAUCAUCUAGCUGGUUCACUGUAGCUGUGGGUGGAGCCUGCACUGUUACAUCCACACUGAUUCUCUCUCCCUUAGGUGUUGUCACAACUACUACUUUCUCUUUGCACUUAAUCUUUGUAGUAUACUUCUUCAUCCAAUCCAAACCCAAAAUCACAUCUAUGCCUAAGGUUCUCAUAACCAUAGGACUGAUCGGGAAAUCUACCCCCCUUAAAGAAAGACUUGCUGAGGGGCAACAAUAAGAAACUGAUAUAGUCCCUCCCGGUGAGUUUACUAGCAUAGGUGUUUUCAUGGCAACUAGUGGAAUGCUAUGAACUCUAACAAAUGCUUGUGAUAUGAAUGUAUGCGAGGCUCCAGAAUCAAAUAAAACUGUAGC
rnacentral:lncRNA from 1 species